AUUGAACGCUGGCGGCAUGCUUUACACAUGCAAGUCGAACGGUAACAGGUUAAGCUGACGAGUGGCGAACGGGUGAGUAAUGCAUCGGAACGUGCCCGGUCGUGGGGGAUAACGCAGCGAAAGCUGCGCUAAUACCGCAUGCGAUCUGAGGAUGAAAGCGGGGGACCGUAAGGCCUCGCGCGAUCGGAGCGGCCGAUGUCAGAUUAGGUAGUUGGUGAGGUAAAGGCUCACCAAGCCAACGAUCUGUAGCUGGUCUGAGAGGACGACCAGCCACACUGGGACUGGGACACGGCCCAGACUCCUACGGGAGGCAGCAGUGGGGAAUUUUGGACAAUGGGCGAAAGCCUGAUCCAGCAAUGCCGCGUGCAGGAAGAAGGCCUUCGGGUUGUAAACUGCUUUUGUACGGAGCGAAAAGGCUCUCUCUAAUACAGGGGGCUCAUGACGGUACCGUAAGAAUAAGCACCGGCUAACUACGUGCCAGCCGCCGCCGUAA
rnacentral:rRNA from 1 species